rnacentral:hammerhead_ribozyme from 1 species
GCACUGCUGAGGAGUGCCAUACUAGGACGAAACGGCCGUCUAGUGC